AGUGCAGUGAGUUCAGCUGGCUGCCAGCAUAGUUCAGCUUUAAAGACCUACAGAGAUUCUUCCUUUCCUAUUUGCAGUCUCCUCCCUGUUCUUGGAAGUGCUGUGCCAUAAGGAGCUGGUUUGUUUGAGCUCCUAGAAUGCAUAUUUUACUAUUCAUCAGGAGUUUUCUCUGAUCUACACAAUUUUUGAGAGUGAUGACACACAAGUUACAUCACUGACAGUCAUUAAAAGACCCAAUCCCAAGAAGUCAAAUAUUGAAUCUGGAUAUUUGAAUUUUAACCAGAAUGUGUUGAUGGCAACUUGAGUCUGCGGCAGUGCUGACCUUCAGAGUGGUUUUGGGUUGAAGUGUGCUGUAUAAUGCUGCAUUUAAGAGUCUCUCAAGAAAUGAUACAGAGCCAAACCGACCGAAGGAAUGGAUUUACAGAGCCUGACAUACUAAUGAAUCGUUAGAAACAAAGAGCCUAGUUGGAAAUAGAUCUGGGCUGAUCACCGGUCAUACCAUGGUCCUCAUCAUACGAGUGUGGUAAAACACUGGCACAGGCUUCCCAGAGAAGUUAUGGAUGCCCCAUUCCUGGAAACGUUCAAUGUCAGGUUGGAUGGGGCUCUGAACAAUCUGUUGAAGAUAUCCCUGAUCAUUGCCAGGGGUUGGACAAGAUGACAUUUAAAUGUCCCUUCUAACCCAAAUGGUUCUGUGUUUCAGUUUAUGGGUUUUACUGUAGAUGAGAGGAGAGAGCAUGGAUCCAUCUGUGUUUAUAUCUCUUUAGUAUGGAUCAUGUCAAAUAGAUUUUAUGCGGAGUAAGUAAUCCAAGAUGGGCUACUGCCACUGGCAAUGCAAAUAAAAUCUGUAGUGCAAUAUUCUAGACAGAAGCAGUUACAAAAUUGGUAUCACCUGAAAAGCUAUUUUUAUAUUUUCUUUACAAACACAAAGACACAGAUGUUUCAGAGACAUGAAUAUAAAUAUAUGUAUAUAAAU